rnacentral:rRNA from 1 species
UACGUAGGGGGCAAGCGUUGUCCGGAUUUAUUGGGCGUAAAGAGCGUGUAGGCGGUUUUACAGGUCCGCUGUGAAAACUCGAGGCUCAACCUCGAGCUGUCGGUGGAAACCGUAAGGCUAGAGUCCGGAAGAGGAGAGUGGAAUUCCUGGUGUAGCGGUGAAAUGCGCAGAUAUCAGGAAGAACACCGGCGGUGUAGACGGCUUUCUGGACCGUAGCUGACGCUGAGACACGAAAGCGUGGGUAGCAAACAGG